AACUAAUCAUAAUUAAACAGUAAUGAAGGAGAGAAAUUCCUAAAGCCUGAAAAUACAAGACGCCGCCCAAUUCCUUCGACCGAUCCGGUAACCCUCUCUCUCCUUAUAUACAAAGCCCACAUUCUCAAUCUCUCUCCAACUCCUCCGUGCCUUCAUCUCUGGUGGUGCUUCUCUUCGUUCGUCGGUGACUUCUCGUCAAAGGAGUUGAGCAGCUGGAAGAUCAAGUUCAAUGCGUUAGAUCUUGGAGGUCAUCGGAUUGCUCGCCGUGUAUGGAAGGAUUAUUACGCCAAGGUGUAUGCUCUACAAGAAGGUGCUAAGUUUAGUCCACUGUGGAUGCUCUGCAAGAAGAUGAUAUUGCAGGAUUCAGUGCCAUGAAUGUGAGAGGACCUUCUGCGUUUCUACCAAACGAUGCUUCUACUUCUUUAUUGACUGAUGAUAUAGGAGUUAAUGAAUCAGAUGCUUCUAAUAUUAUUCCACAUGAUCCACUUAGAAUGAUUGACGACAUAAAUUCUUUAAAAUCAGAGUUAGCAUUGGAAAAUGAAGAACUAAUGUGAACAUUAAAAACUGAGUCGCAUAAUAACUCCAAGCUGAAGGUAAUCACAAGUCUGUAAUUGUUAUUUCUUUGGACUAUUUUUUUCCUGGAUAAUCAGCCAGUUGGUUUACCUCAUUUUACGGAUUGCCUACAACACAGUUAUCUUUGUCUAGUACUGUUACAUGUUGACACAUGAAUCUUGUGGCUAAAUCCUUGUGAAGUCUUUUUGAGUUUUGAAGUUGUUGGAAAUUCUUUUUAAUUACCCUUGUCAUACAAUGGGAUAAACUUAUUUCUGUGCUAUUGUAUUCUGUUAUAUAUCCCUGAUAUUACUAUACAUAUUGGCAGGUGUGGCUGCACACAGGUAUACACAUGGAAUUAAGGCCUUAAUUUAAGUAUGAUUUACAUGCGUUUUUAUGGAUAGAAUUUGAACUAAAGUUUGGAUAAAUCUUAUGCCAAUCAAUUGUCUAAUAUAUAUUUAUGUAGACAAGCAUGAUAGUUAUUUCUAUCCGACUGAGCUAUCCCCAUUAUUCCUAGAACAAUAAUCCCACUUUCUGGGUGCAAUUACUCCUUGCGUAUGUUUUUUGGUAAUGAUGUUUGGGAAUAAUAAAAGUAGUGAAUAACUUUGAGGCUUUUCCAUCCCCUGAUAUGUGGAUUAUCCAAUCAUGCAUGGGUAGGGUUUUUGUUUGCGUGCAUGCAUAUGGCGUGUGCUUGCAUGUGGUUGUCUUUUGGCAUGAGCAAUGUGUGUGUACACUUGCACAUGUAAAUUGUUAUUAUCUAAACCUUAUUCUAGCAGUUAUCUAUGUUUUCUUUGCAGAAUACUAUAUCAUUAUUAUGGAAAUUUCUUUAGGCGUGUGCAACAAGGAAGAUAGAAGAGCCCAGUUGAAGAUUUUUGGAAAGCUUUUGCUACCACUCCAAGUUCUCAUGAUUUAUUUAUCCUCUUGCACCUGUGUAAAGAUAGAAGGGCCCAAAGUGAUAAGAUAGAAGGGCCCGUGUUAUUACUUCGAUUUCAUGAAUUCUUUACUUUAAGCACAGAUCACCUAAUUAAAUAUAUCAUUCUUCUUUUAGUAAAUAGCUAAUAAACAAUCAGUGAUCCCAUGUGAUCCAUGAUAUACCUACACUAUUUGUUUACUCAUGUUUGUUGCAAGUUUGUUCUUUCUUUUGUGAUUUUCAAAACUGUAGCUAAUUCUAUUUGCUCCAGAUUAGAGCUGAUCAA